CCCGUAGAAGACGGGGUUGAUGGGGCGGGGGUGUAAGCCCCGAGGGAGUUGUCUCCCGAGGGGUUUAGCCUGCCGCUCCCAAUCGCCCGAGG
rnacentral:rRNA from 1 species